rnacentral:rRNA from 1 species
GACGGAGGAUGCAAGCGUUAUCCGGAAUCAUUGGGCGUAAAGCGUCCGCAGGUGGCAGUUCAAGUCUGCUGUCAAAGACCGGGGCUUAACUUCGGAAAGGCAGUGGAAACUGAACAGCUAGAGUAUGGUAGGGGCAGAGGGAAUUCCUGGUGUAGCGGUGAAAUGCGUAGAGAUCAGGAAGAACAUCGGUGGCGAAGGCGCUCUGCUGGACCAUAACUGACACUCAGGGACGAAAGCUAGGGGAGCGAACAGG